rnacentral:rRNA from 1 species
GUGGGGAAUAUUGGACAAUGGGCGCAAGCCUGAUCCAGCCAUGCCGCGUGUGUGAAGAAGGCCUUCGGGUUGUAAAGCACUUUUGUCCGGAAAGAAAGCGAAUCGGCGAAUACCCGGUUUGGAUGACGGUACCGGAAGAAUAAGCACCGGCUAACUUCGUGCCAGCAGCCGCGGUACUACGAAGGGUGCAAGCGUUACUCGGAAUUACUGGGCGUAAAGGGCGCGUAGGCGGCGCGGUAAGUCACUUGUGAAAUCUCUGAGCUUAACUCAGAACGGCCAAGUGAUACUGCUGUUCUAGAGUGCGGAAGAGGCAACCGGAAUUCUUGGUGUAGCGGUGAAAUGCGUAGAUAUCAAGAGGAACACCUGAGGCGAAGGCGGGUUGCUGGGCCGACACUGACGCUGAUGCGCGAAAGCCAGUGGAGCAAACG